UCUGGCAGUGAUGACACUCUUGCCCUCACUGAGAACAUGGUUCAGUAAUGAGAACCUCAGAAGUGCUGAGCCAGA